rnacentral:rRNA from 1 species
AGAGUUUGAUCCUGGCUCAGGACGAACGCUGGCGGCGUGCUUAACACAUGCAAGUCGAACGGAAAGGCCCUUCGGGGUACUCGAGUGGCGAGCGGGUGAGUAACACGUGGGUGAUCUGCCCUGCACUUUGGGAUAAGCCUGGGAAACUGGGUCUAAUACCGAAUAUGACCAUGCGCCUCCUGGUGUGUGGUGGAAAGCUUUUGCGGUGUGGGAUGGGCCCGCGGCCUAUCAGCUUGUUGGUGGGGUAAUGGCCUACCAAGGCGACGACGGGUAGCCGGCCUGAGAGGGUGACCGGCCACACUGGGACUGAGAUACGGCCCAAACUCCUACGGGAGGCAGCAGUGGGGAAUAUUGCACAAUGGGCGCAAGCCUGAUGCAGCGACGCCGCGUGAGGGAUGACGGCCUUCGGGUUGUAAACCUCUUUCAGCACAGACGAAGCGCAAGUGACGGUAUGAGCAGAAGAAGGACCGGCCAACUACGUGCCAGCAGCCGCGGUAAUACGUAGGGUCCGAGCGUUGUCCGGAAUUACUGGGCGUAAAGAGCUCGUAGGUGGUUUGUCGCGUUGUUCGUGAAAACUCACAGCUUAACUGUGGGCGUGCGGGCGAUACGGGCAGACUUGAGUACUGCAGGGGAGACUGGAAUUCCUGGUGUAGCGGUGGAAUGCGCAGAUAUCAGGAGGAACACCGGUGGCGAAGGCGGGUCUCUGGGCAGUAACUGACGCUGAGGAGCGAAAGCGUGGGGAGCGAACAGGAUUAGAUACCCUGGUAGUCC